UAAUUAUCUGACCUUGUAUGCUUCAAAUAACAAUCAGGCCCAGUAAUGUGGACAGUGAGUUUGCAGAGGACCAGAUAGAAUGCAGCGGGACCAAUUAGGAGGCUACUUCAGUGACCUAGGAGAAAGAAGAUAAGGACCUCAGUGAGAGAGUGGAGCUGGGCAUGGAGAAGAGGGGGCAUGAGAGGAAAUUGUUGGAAGUAAAAAUGCUCAGGGCUCUGAUUGGCUGGAUGUGGAGCAGCACAGAGUCCCAGGUUAGGCUGUGCUGCCUGGCCAGAUGACUGUGCCAGUCUGGGGCAGGGGACUGCAAUGCAGAGGCAGCUGGAGGUGGAGGCGCAGCCCUUCCUGGAGGAAAGGAUGGCCAGUGUUCCCUCUCAGGGCCCUUUCCAGAUAGAGUUGUUUAUGCUGGGCUGGAGGAAGCUGUCAUCUGGAGACAUCAAAGACCUGCGAGCAAUUCAACCCUAAGAAACAACUGGGGAUUCCUGAUACAAAUGCAACAACUCCUUCGGUUGGAGGGGAAUGAAUUUUCAAAAUAAGGCCAAACAAAUCUCAGCAUGGCAGAAUCAGUAUCUAGAGGUGUAUAGAACUGCUGAUCUCCUGAGAGAUAAGAGGAGAGAUUUGCUCUUGGGUCUCAUCCCCUGCCGUUCUCUUUCCACACCCUUGUCGUUCCCCCACAUGCACGCACACAUGCGCACACACACGUGCACACAUGCGUGUGCGCUUCAUCAUCCCUCAACUUCUCACCUCCCCCAGACACACCAGGCCCUUUCGCACUCCCUCUUUGCACCUGCUGUUCUCUCUGCCUGCAGAGUCCUUCCUCCUUCUCCACUGGGCAAAAUGUAUUUCUUCUUCCAGCCAACCCAGAUGCCAGUCCUCUCUGAUGUCCAGCCCCACUGCCCCAGGCAUCUGUGCCAUGCUUCCCCCUCGUGCUGGAAGAGCACGAGCCCAGGCUGAGAGCAAGAAGGAAGGCUUGGUGGCCUGGGAGGCCUGAGUGCUUUUCCUGAUCCAGGUGUCCUCCUCAGAGGCAAAUAGAGGAGAGAACCAUGGAGACAUGACCCUUCCCAGUCUCCUUCCAUCGUUCUCUGUGCUGUCUCUCUCCUUUCUGCGUACUCUGGAAUUAGACAAGCUGCAAAGGCAGGAGCUGGCAACACCACUGCGGGGGGCACUCUGAGAGCAUCUUUUGUUCCUCAGCAUUUCGUUUACUCAUUCAACAAACAGUGAGAGUGGACUGUGUUCUAGCCUCCCAGUUCCUAGAAGAUCUGACCCAGAGGGAGGGAGGCUGGCUUUCCUUGCAAGCACACGGCUUCCACUUCAGCCAGGAAGAACCAGCAGGGAGCUUGGAAAGUCAAUGAAGUUAUUAUCCAGGGCUCAAUUCCAUGUCUCAGGGAGCACUUUAGGAAGCGACCAGCUCCCCUUUCAGCAGCACAUCCAGAAUCUACACAAGGAGAGAGCUGGGAAGAGCCCGGAAACCAGCCUGGACUCAUCAGCCUCCAAGCCUGGAAGCCAAUCCAACUCAGAGCCACUUAGGAAGAGAUUGGGGACACUCCGCCAGUUCCAAAGCCUUAUGUUCCCAAUUGCAUUCAACUUGGCUAAGCUCGACUUUGAAGCUCAGGAUUUUGCAGGCCAUUAUUUCGUCUUGCUAUCAAGUCGGCUGACUCCUCACAUAGUCGGAUCCUAUGAAUCCUGGGUCCUCCAUUGCUUGCUUGCUCAACUUCCACACUGCUGCCAAAGACAAAUCUAUUUCUACCAUUUCCUUUAGUCUCUGGAUGCCUGGGCCCAGGUCUCAUGUUUGGUUUAGGUAAAACUUGCUUUCUUCACAGCCACAGGGAGCUUGACUCUGCCCAGGCCCUUUUCCCUAGGCUGACCUCUUGUGUUUACUUGGCUCACCCAUCACCCUGGCUAGUGUCCAUGCAAUUUACUGCUCUCUUGAUUAGUCUCUCUCUUGUCUCCUUAAAUCUUGUGCCGCCAUGAGCUGUUCAGCAGGGGCAGGAAUUAGCCUGAGGUUUGCCUGGUAUGUCAUCCUAGAUUGUCUCCCCUCUCUGCACACCACGAGGGGACAGCACCCACUCCCUCAACUCCUGCCUACUGUCUCUUCCUAGAAAAGUACCUGUUGGAUAAACGGUUUGUAUGCCAGCUCCCUUAUCUGCUAUGGGAUCUUGGACAAGUUACUUAACAUCUCUGGGCCUCAGUUUCCUCAUCUAACAAAUGGAGUAGACCACAUUACCUACUUCAGAUUUGUUGCAAGAAUUGAAGGUAAAUUCAUACAAAGCCCUUAGAAGAGUGCCUGCCACAUAAUAAGCGCUCAGAAAAUGUUAUCUCUUGUCAUCAUCAUCAUUGCUAUGAUAUUUAUUAUGAAGGUCAGUGACUGUCUUUAUUUGCCUAUAUGUCCAGGUACUUGGUACAGUGUCUGGCAUGAAUAAACACUCAAGAAUCACUGAAUCAAUGGAUAAAUGUACUUUUAAGCUAAUUCUUCCAAAGAUAUUACACUUCCCAGAAAAUUUUAAAUUUAAAUUUAAAGAGCGGAUCUGCACAUUGAUGACAAUGCUAAGGAAUAAAUGGCUGACAGUGCGAUUCCAGGAGUCUCUGGGGAAGGGAUUUAGAGUUAAUGGUUGUUUUAUGUCAACUCAGGCAGUCAAUUACUCAAAAUAUUGCUACCCCGGGUCAGUAGUUCAUCGUCCCUACAGUGGCAUUUCCCUCCAAACUCUAAAGCAGUAAAAUUGUAGAAAUCAGCAAGGGAAUAGAGGAGACGAAGGAACCCUCCAGGCUACAGGAACACCGUUUCCUGGGUCCUCCCUGGGCUCCAAGUCAUCGCAACCUGAGUGUGUGCUGACGCUGGAAAGCCCACGGGGGCUUGUUCUCGAUGAGACAGAAGGAGAGUGCUGCAGGCCAGCGGCCUCAGACCCUUCCGUGACGGGGUUCCUAGAUUCCAGUCCUUGACUCUCCUGGGAGAACCUGGCCCCUUCCACACCUCGCCAGAGAGUUCUGGUAGUGGAGAGUGGAAAUAUCUUACCUAAAUGUCACUGGAAGGCUGUGCUGUGAAUCUGCUCUGAGCGGUUGGGAUGGGAUCUCGGUUGGAAGACACUGUCCAUUUCAAAUUCAGAAGCGGGGAGUGAAUGCAGGCCUGGGAGCAGCAAGAGUCCCCCCCAUGGUAUCACAGCCCGUGAUACCUUCGUAGACGUCAUCACAUAUGCUGCUCACAACAGACAACUCCUCUGUGCCUGGGCGCUGCCUUGCUCUGUGGGUCCUUCCUGUGCUGGGAGUCCAGCCCUGCUCUAGGGCCCUGCCUGAGGCUGCAGGACCUCCCCUGGAACCACUGUGCAUUGCCUGUUUCCGGGGCCCUUCUUCUAUCCUCUGUUCAACAAGUAGACACCAUCCACUGGGCCUCCCUGAUGCCAACCACCAGGUAGGAUGACUGUGCAGCUACCAUGACACUUUUUCCAAAUAAUUCUCUGCCUGCUGGGCUGCCUGCCUCCCAUAGCCUAUCCCUAAGCUGUUCACCCACAAUGGUGGGUCCCAGUUCCAGGCCCAGUCUGGGUGAUCUGCUGAUAAUCUCUAAACUGUUUUUGAGAGCCUUCCCCUCACCCACCCCACUCAAUCAAAGCUGGAAGCUGAUGAGCUGGGUAACCCAGGCCAACUUGCUAUCUGACCCUUUCUGGGGGCCUAUUAGCCCAUCUGAGAAAGUGACCCCUAGGUUCCCUUUCCUUGCAGGUAUGAAUAAGAACACAGCCAUUUGGGGCCCCUUGAGGGAAGGCUCUGUCUGAAAACAGAUGUGAUUACUAUUUUCAUCACCUUUUUAAUCCUUUAAUCACACAUUUGCAGCAAGGAGCCUGGGCAGGGUCAGUCCAUUUAUAUAAACAGCAGGAUAAAUGAGGCUCUGUGCUAUAUGCCAACCACACUUAAUGGAACCAUAAGAAUUGCUGGCCUUUUGUGAGCAGAAAACCGAAUACUCCAGGUAUUUAUUCCAAAACAGCCCACAUCCAAGUGGCUGGGACCUGUGCUCACAUUAUGACGGCUUUAACAGAGACAUGUCAUCCUUCCAGGACCAUUGGGGAUACUCUGUCCACGGGCUAGACAGCAUGGAAGGACAAGGUCUCUGGGUAGUUGACUGCCCCUGAACAAGGAACCUCCCAUGUCUCUGGCCCUUGGGUCUUGGAAGUAUUAUUCUGGAAGCCUGCCCCAACCAGGAACGGGGAAGCAGUCUAAGAGGUUUGGAGGCCAUUGUUUGGAAUGGGUCCCUAGUAGAUAGAGGGUUGUUGCUUUCUUUUGCAAUAGCAGGAGGAUGGGACAAAUGGUCCUAGGACUCUAGAAGGGGAUGGGGAGCAUCCCUCCAGGACUUCUCCAUGUGUAACUG